rnacentral:rRNA from 1 species
AGCGAACGCUGGCGGCAGGCCUAACACAUGCCAGUCGAACGAACUCUUCGGAGUUAGUGGCGGACGGGUGAGUAACACGUUGGAACGUGCCUUUAGGUUCGGAAUAACUCAGGGAAACUUGUGCUAAUACCGAAUGUGCCCUUCGGGGGAAAGAUUUAUCGCCUUUAGAGCGGCCCGCGUCUGAUUAGCUAGUUGGUGAGGUAAAGGCUCACCAAGGCGACGAUCAGUAGCUGGUCUGAGAGGAUGAUCAGCCACAUUGGGACUGAGACACGGCCCAAACUCGUACGGGAGGCAGCAGUGGGGAAUCUUGCGCAAUGGGCGAAAGCCUGACGCAGCCAUGCCGCGUGAAUGAUGAAGGUCUUAGGAUUGUAAAAUUCUUUCAACGGGGACGAUAAUGACGGUACCCGGAGAAGAAGCCCCGGCUAACUUCGUG